UUUAAAGCAGUGAUAUUUUCAAGCCAUGUAGUUUAGUGACUUGCUGAAAUGGGCUAGGGAAUCUAAUUUCAAAUGGGCAAAAAGAUAAACAAACUAUUUUGCUUUAAUUUUCUAGUUCAGUGUUUUAGGGGUAAAUCAAAACUAUGCAAAUGUCAGAUCAGAAAGAAAGUUAAAAAUCAUAUAGAAAGACUUCUGGAUACUGAAGAUGAGCUCAGUGACAUUCAGACUGACUCAGUCCCAUCUGAAGUCCGGGACUGGUUGGCUUCUACCUUUACACGGAAAAUGGGGAUGACAAAAAAGAAACCUGAGGAAAAACCAAAAUUUCGGAGCAUUGUGCAUGCUGUUCAAGCUGGAAUUUUUGUGGAAAGGAUGUACCGAAAAACAUAUCAUAUGGUUGGUUUGGCAUAUCCAGCAGCUGUCAUCGUAACAUUAAAGGAUGUUGAUAAAUGGUCUUUCGAUGUAUUUGCCCUAAAUGAAGCAAGUGGAGAGCAUAGUCUGAAGUUUAUGAUUUAUGAACUGUUUACCAGAUAUGAUCUUAUCAACCGUUUCAAGAUUCCUGUUUCUUGCCUAAUCACCUUUGCGGAAGCUUUAGAAGUUGGUUACAGCAAGUACAAAAAUCCAUAUCACAAUUUGAUUCAUGCAGCUGAUGUCACUCAAACUGUGCAUUACAUAAUGCUUCAUACAGGUAUCAUGCACUGGCUCACUGAACUGGAAAUUUUAGCAAUG
rnacentral:sRNA from 1 species